rnacentral:sRNA from 1 species
AUGGGAGCACUGGAAACCAAAAUCCUCUAUUUAUUCAUCUCACCUAUACCACAAAUCUAAUGUGCCUCAAUCUUGACCUGGAAGCGCCAUUUCUAAUGAUGAGCAGGGAUUUCAGUCUCCACGGCCCGUUCAAUUACUAGUGCCC